GUCAAAUUAAACUGGCUGGUUUAUUCCAAAAGUUUGGGUACGCUUACAGCCUUGUGGAGCUGGUGCUGAUCAGCAUCCUGAGCACUGCAAUGCAGCCAUAGGGACACAGGGGGAGGAGUUGUGCCUAAAAAAACAAACCCAACCUGUCGUUCUCAGCUCUGCCAACCUGUCAGUCCAGCCAUGCAGGAGAGAGGCAGAGAGACAGAGAAAAGGAAAGGAGGGAGUGAAGCAGAGAUUCUUUCAGAUCUCAGCAGACAUUAAGCAAUGCAAAGAAGGCUUGGGACAUCUAUGUGACACAUUCUGCAAUGCUGAUGGGCAUUUUUGAAAUAAGCACAAGCAUUCUGAUGCACUUGCUUCAUUACUGCUUUUGAAACGCGGACUAGCUGUCCCUCCUGGCUGGCAGGAAGUGGUGCUGUGUUCCAAGAAGCCGCUGUGCUUCUUUUCACAAGCAACUAAGCACUUCUGGUAGUUUUCAGUCAUGAUAGUAGCACUAGUUCCUCUUCUUAAAGCAGUUCAAUUUGUGUUUUGAGAGUGUGGACAGGAGAGAAUAUGCUUCAACUACUCAAAUAUUAUUUGUGGUGACAAGCUGGGUUGGAGAAUUGGAAAAGUGGAGAGUGUUUCAGCCCUUAAUUUCCUGUGGAAAGUUUCAGCUGAGGAAGCAUUGAAUUUUUGGUUUCUCUUUGCUGUCAACAUGGUAGAGGUCAAUAAUAGCCUGAACAGAUCUAAGAAUUGACCAAAAGUCUGGGAAACAAACUGAAUAGAGGCAGUUUCAGUGCACAACCCAUUUUUCAGGCAAGUUUUCCUGCACUCUGAGGGGAAAGCAAGACAGGGAUUCACCUGGUGAUGUGAAAUGAAGACUCAUCUGAAUAAAAGACUAAAACUAGCUGGAAGUUUUCCAUGUCUGAGAAUGAAAGGCGCAUCCAUUCCUGAGGCAACUUUGAAGACAAUGGCUCUCCAGGUUCUCUCUCUCAAACUGGUUUUAAAUUGGCACCUGAUUUUGUGUACAUCAGCAUUAAGGCAUUUCCUUUGUGUUUCUUGGCCGUGACCAGACUUGAGCUGACUUUACUGACCAGAUCCCUGAUGUGGCCUUCAUGGCCCAUUGUGCUCUCCAAGAAAUGCUGAUCCAUAGCAGCUAUGGGAGAACAUGCACAUUCCUAACUGGCAUUCUCCCACUCAAAGAUAGCUCAAAUUCAGACAAAUCUGAACAACUGUGAUGAUAUUCACUUAAUACAUAUAAAAGUUGUUGCCAUAAAAUGCAGCCCACUUUCCACCAGAAAUCUCAAUGGGAAAAUCCAACUAUUUCUAUUUCCACUCAUAAGCCUUAACCAGCUGUUUGACUGUUAAUGAAAAUCCUUGUAGUUUUCCACAACUGAGUGAGAACUCUUUCCAGGAGUGGCCUGUGGUGAGAUUUCUAACGCACUCUUGCUUUGGAUGGACUAAGAAUAUUAAUCUUCUCAUGGCAUUUUGUGAGCACAGGUUUCUAUUCCUGAAAGAAAGGAAGCAAUUGGUGCCUCCUGCAAGAAAAACAAGAAACCCUCAAACAACUUCUGUGCGUUUCAGGUCUCAGAAAGAUUUGAUUUAGACUUUGUCAAUGGGAAUAAGUAAUUAGUGCUUUACUUUAUCUACAUGAGUCUGUUUGAAUCGAGUCGACUGAUUGGUGCAGCAGAGUUUUGGAUGGAGGUGCAGUUGCCCUGGUAACAAUCGCGAGUGAAAUCAGAACCUUUUGAACAGCCAGUGGAAUGUGGUUCUACUUGGAUGACAAUAGGUCAAAGCAUUUUAAUGGGUAAAAAUGUAAUCCAGUACAAUAGGAUUUAUUGCCACUAUGUCAUCAGAUUGACACUAUUCCUGCAAAUUCUUUAGCUUGUGACAGACUUCAACUGAAAUCUGUUUAGUGGAAAAACUUGUAAAAUGCCAUUAAUCAUUUUGUUUUUCAAAUCAACCAAAAAGUCUGUGUGUCUCAGGGGGGUUAGAAAGAGUAUCUUCCAAGUGAGUGAAAUUCAACCUCUCUGCACAAAGCCCUAAUGAAUGGCUGUUCUGGACACAAUAAAUGGUUCUAAGAACUAAA